CUGGCGGCGUGCCUAAUACAUGCAAGUCGAGCGAGCGGAACCAACAGAUUUACUUCGGUAAUGACGUUGGGAAAGCGAGCGGCGGAUGGGUGAGUAACACGUGGGGAACCUGCCCCUAAGUCUGGGAUACCAUUUGGAAACAGGUGCUAAUACCGGAUAAUAAAGCAGAUCGCAUGAUCAGCUUUUGAAAGGCGGCGUAAGCUGUCGCUAAGGGAUGGCCCCCGCGGUGCAUUAGCUAGUUGGUAAGGUAACGGCUUACCAAGGCGACGAUGCAUAGCCGAGUUGAGAGACUGAUCGGCCACAUUGGGACUGAGACACGGCCCAAACUCCUACGGGAGGCAGCAGUAGGGAAUCUUCCACAAUGGACGCAAGUCUGAUGGAGCAACGCCGCGUGAGUGAAGAAGGUUUUCGGAUCGUAAAGCUCUGUUGUUGGUGAAGAAGGAUAGAGGUAGUAACUGGCCUUUAUUUGACGGUAAUCAACCAGAAAGUCACGGCUAACUACGUG
rnacentral:rRNA from 1 species